GAUGAGAAGUGGCUCUGUGCAAGGCUGUGACAUGCAGAGAUGUGGCUCCUCUGAACCCAGGGAGGGUGGGGAGAGAGAAGACAUAACUUGACUCUCAGAUUUCUAGCAAAGAACUUUCCCUUCCAUUUGACUGGAGACUCCUCCUCUGAUACUGGGGGAGAUGUCCACCGAAGAGGUAUGUAAAGGAAGGAAAGGACAUGGGAGGGCUGCUUUGGGGACAUGGAAUAGUCACUAUGUUGAAUGGGGGGCUCAAAGACCGAAGACUGGACCUCUUUCUGCAGCACUGGUUCAGUGUCCCUGGAAUAUGACUCAUUGUCUCUGGGCCACAGUAUUCUCAUCCACACAAUGGAAAUUAUACCACCCACACAUCCUAAGGUGAGGCACUGUGUAGCUAUGGGUGGGCACACCUGUGGCAUGGGAGGGUAAGAGCUUGUCAGACAGACUUGAGGGGUAAGGCCAGACUCUGCCCAUUCUUAGCUGCAUGCUCUUGUGAAAUCAAUCCCCUUUUCUGAGUCUACCCAGAACCCAAACUGGACUAUAGACUGACAUGGACUGUACCUCAAAGGACAUCAGGACAAAUGAAUCUUUCUGAAGAUUGGGAGACUGAGUCCUAGACAGGGCAAAGGACUUAUGUGGGGCACUGAGGCAGCUGGAAGCAGGACCUCAGCCUGAGCCCUCCCUAGAAGACUGGCUGAAACUCUCUUCCGACUGCAGGCCCCUCAGCAACUAAACCAACCAUUUCCUUCAAAACAAUUUACCCUAGGCAAAAACAUCUGGGGAGCAAAUACUACAUCUUGGUCUGAACAAAAAGACAGCUUGGUUUUUAGCCUAAGGUUUUCUGUGGGUCCACGUACACUCCUCUCUUGAAAUCACCAUGAAAAUGUUGUGGAUUUGUGGGUUUUGCUGGGAAUGGUGCCUACAUAGAGCUAUUUUGGGGUCUUUACAAGGGUCUUUAAGGAGCUGAAAAUUUCUGGGCCUUUCUGAGGGACCUUACGUAUCUCCUUAUUUGAAAACACUAGAAUGUGCAGUCAGCCAUGGAGCUAAUCUUUAAGCAAAAUAGGACAGGCCACACACAUACACACACCCACUUCCCAAGGAGGAGGAAGGGACAGCAACAGGUCCUGGCCUCCUGAGGCUGCCCUUGGUGGUUGUCUGAUACUGUGCAGGGAGGGGCUCCUCAGUUGUGCUGGGCACUGUCACUACAGCUGACAUUCACAGUACACACACACACACAGAGCCAGGCACAGGGACCAGGCCUACCCACCAGGUCUCCAACCAUGCAGCCUUGAACUCAGGGCACAGACGCGGCAGCAAAGGGGUCCCAAGCUGACACAGGGAGGGCAAAACAUACACAGUCACAGCCUUAGUCAUUCACACAGACUCAUGCAUCACACGUUUCACACCCCCUCAAGACACAUAUGCACACGGUCACAGCCGCACUCAUUCACGACUCAUACAUCACACAAAUUACACACACAGAGACCCAUACUCACAAAACCAGACAUACACCCAGAUAUACACACACAGAGAUAGAGAUACACCAGGUAUCUCCAGACACAUGCACAAACAUUGUCACAUACACAUACAGCCACAUAUCCUCACCCACGCAGGCUUAUGCAUGCAUGUACACACGCAAUCCAGGCAUCCCAAUGCCUACCCGGGCCCCUACCACUGUAAACUCUCUCUGCGUCAGGGGUGGGGGGUGUCAAUGUUUACUAGCCCUAGAGACCAGACUGGGCUUCCAACUGGCACCAGGGAGACAGAGUGGAGGGGCAGAGGGGCAGUGGAAGACUGUCUGAUUUUCACCCUCCUAUGUGCGGGGUGGGGAAAGGAAGGUGAGGAGACCCUGACUGCCAAGGGAACAGUCCCCUGGCUCCUGGAGGUGGCUCCAAGGACUGAGAACUCGGGUAGGGGAAGGGAGGGUUUAAUUUCCCAAAUCGAACCACUCCGUUUUCCUGAAGUCUGGUCCCCUUUUGGCCUGUAGCUACGUGAGCGCCCCUCCCCCAACGCGCCCUGCUCCCCGCCCAGCUCCUCUCACCCAGAUCUCCUGAGACCACCCACCUGCUCCUACACAAGAGAGGGGUCCUAUCAAACACACCCAGGCAUGCCCCCUACGUUUGGAGGACCCUCGUGCUGCGUGCACCCCCACAAACAGCUUCCAGACAUCCAGAGUCCUUCCAUACUUAGGACCCCCCACUCAUUCGCCAUAUCCCCAGCCUUGCGGGAGCACCAAGCCUAGGAAAUUGAUCUGUGCUGAUCUUUCCUUGAAAACCUGGAGCUUUCCCUCCAAGAUAAAGGACUUGACAGCGUUUGGCUCAAUAGCCACAGGAAGAUGGGCCUGGCUGAAACCAGAGAUUGCCCAACUUCUGAAUCUGGAGCUCGGCCCCUGCUGCAGUUGGAACAUUCACCACUAGGAGCAACCCUCACCUAAGAACAAUGUAGGAAGAGUUGGACCCUCCAUGGGGCCAGAGCAGGUAAACUUACUCAGGUCUCAAAGGCUUUUUUCCAGAGUCUGAAAAUGGCUAUCAGCUGACCCAGGCUACCCAGGCUACACCUCAUACCUCGCCGCUGACCGAUGGUGCUGCUGCUGACCACUCACUCUGGAGGAGGCCCACCAUCAAGUCAUGAGAACCUUCAAUCAAAUAGCGUGUGCACAGGCCCGUUGGGGGAGGAACUGAAGCCUCCGAGAACUCACCAGUGUGUGAGUGAGUGAACUACCUAAAGACGGAUCCUCCAGCAAAAUUCCAUUUUCUUCAAGGAUUUUCCCUAGGCCAUGUAACCUUCUUUCUUCCGAACCGCUACAUUUCUUUUCCGUAUUAUUUUUGCUCUAAUCAUAUAUUGCCUCAUUUCUUCAUCUGUUAUAAAAUUUCUUAUUUCUCUGACAGUUUUCAUAGGAAUCAGUGAGGAUUUUCAUUCAUUUAGUAGCUGUUGGCCUUGUGUCCCCCUCUCUCUACCUCUCAGGUCUCACUGAAGAGCUGGGCAAAGUAGAAUCUCACUUUGGGGAGUUUUAAUUUAGAAGUACAGUAGGGGGUGCGCCAGCCCCAUAUACCGAGGGUGGUGGGUUUGAACCCAGCCCCAGCCAAACUGCAACAAAAAAAUAGCCGGGCAUUGUGGCGGGUGCCUAUAGUCCCAGCUACUCGGGAGGCUGAGGCAAGAGAAUCGCCUAAGCCCAAGACCUGGAGGUUGCUGUGAGCUGUGAUGCCAUGGUACUCUACCAAGGGUGACAAAGUGAGACUCCAUCUUUAAAACAAAAAAUAGAAGUACAGUACGGUA